GCCCUUAGAGUUUGAUCCUGGCUCAGAACGAACGCUGGCGGCAGGCUUAACACAUGCAAGUCGAACGCUCUCUUCGGAGAGAGUGGCAGACGGGUGAGUAACGCGUGGGAACCUACCUAGAAGUACGGAAUAACUCGAGGAAACUCGUGCUAAUACCGUAUACGCCCUCCGGGGGAAAGAUUUAUCGCUUCUAGAUGGGCCCGCGUUGGAUUAGCUAGUUGGUGAGGUAAUGGCUCACCAAGGCUACGAUCCAUAGCUGGUCUGAGAGGAUGAUCAGCCACACUGGGACUGAGACACGGCCCAGACUCCUACGGGAGGCAGCAGUGGGGAAUAUUCGGCAAUGGGCGCAAGCCUGACCGAGCCAUGCCGCGUGAGUGACGAAGGCCUUAGGGUUGUAAAGCUCUUUUGGUGGGGAAGAUAAUGACUGUACCCACAGAAUAAGCCCCGGCUAACUUCGUGCCAGCAGCCGCGGUAAUAC
rnacentral:rRNA from 1 species